UCUGGGCAACACACCCAGCUAAAAAACUACAUUUCCAGGCCUCCCUGGCAGCUUCAUGUAGCCAUGUGACUAAGUUUUGGUCAAGGCACAAGCAGAGGGUGACAGAGGACUUCCAGGCCCACAUUUCCUCACCUGGACUGGGAAAUGAAAGAAUCUUCCUCUCCUCGCCCUGUUUCUGGGGGAGGCCACAGGAGAUCAGGGUAAUCUGGGAACACUUCCUCCGGAGGUAAGAAGGCAGGAGGCUCAUGUUCGAAGUGUCAGUGGGCUCCAGAGUGUGUGACAAAGCCAUCAAGCCCAAGCUCCCAAGAGCCCAGGUUCACGUCCUUGCCCAGCA